rnacentral:lncRNA from 1 species
UCCAUCCCUAAUUCUGGUGCUAUUCUUUGCUCUUUUGUGACUCUUCUCCUCUUUGUCAUCUGUCUGGAAAAGAAGUGGAGUUGGGACUUGAGCUGGGGUGGGAGUAAGGAGGUCCUCCCACUAAAAUAUUCAAAAGAGGCACUGCCUACUGUUGUUCCCAAAAAACACAGUUGAGUGCCCAGGAGGUGGAGGUCCUCCCACUAAAAUAUUCAAAAGAGGCACUGCCUACUGUUGUUCCCAAAAAACACAGUUGAGUGCCCAGGAGGUGGCCUUGACCUUCGGUAUUUUAGAAGAAAUGGCUGCUUUAGAAACUUGACCUGUUUUUCCUUUGAUUAGGAAUGGAUUGAGACCUUUUCCUUUGCGACAGACAGAGACAGUGGUAUCUUCAAUAGUUUUCUUCUUUUGGUUUCUUAUUCUAAUUCCUUGCUAGUUUUUUC